CUACAGUCAUUUCCUCCAAGAAAGGAGGAGUGUUUGGCGGGGCUACAAAAGCAAAUAGCUAUGCCCUGGGAAGAGGGAGUUCUGAGGCUGGUAAACCCAGAGAAAGGAGAGAGCUAGAAGGAUUGGCUACAGGCACUUUAUUUGGUGCCAGUUGAUCUGGGAUGGGAAAUCUGAAGCAGAGAAAAAUGAACAGUCUGACGCUAAACAACACUAAAGUGAAAUGACUUUCACAAAGGCACUUCGUUGAUAGAUGAUGAUGGAGGGAACUGAGGGUAAACGAGUGACUCAACCUGAAGAGAAUACCCCACUCUAUGGAGUAAUUGUAGUGGCACAACCUUUGAGAAGAGUCAUUAUUGGGACAGUUCUGAGAGUGGAUGCCAGAGCUGCCAGCAUUUUUGAAAUACAGAUAAGCAAGCAAGCAAGCAACUGGUGUGUUUUUUUUGUUUGUUUGUUUGUUUGUUUGUUUUUUAAAAAGCCUGAUGAUAACUUCACGUCUUCUAAACAAACUGGAAGACAGAUGGCUCUGGGUCCUGGAACAUGUGUUUAAAAAUAAAGGAAUGGGAGUUUGUAGGCAAAAACAACAUCCUGCUAUUUCAAAGAAAAAGCUAAACACUCUUGGUUGAACUCUGGAAUAGGGAACAACUUUUGAUGAACAGAAAAGAACAUGUGGGAUAGCAACACAGAAAAACCUUGGUGAUAAAAGGGACUCCUCAUGAAUGACCAGAGUUAUGGAUGUGAGGGUGUGAAAAGAUCGCAAGUUCUACAUAAUGUGCAAAUGUUGUCCCAUCAUCAGCGGGGCAAACCUACUUUUCAAAGAUCAUUUCUCAGGAGGUGAAAUGGAGAACUUGCAUUCUAAAACAGGGUAAGACGCUUUAAAUACAAGCAAGCCCUUUUUAGUAAUUAGGGGUAUAGUUUAUACAUCUUUUUGAGUCUGGUCUAGUCUGAGACCUAAACCUGUGUCUCUAGCAGGCCUCAUUCUCCUGUGUUGGAGAAAAUCCUCUAGGUAUAAUCCUUUCAUCUAUCAAGAACUGUGAAAUCUUAGUCCUAUUGAAGCCAGUGGCAAUAAUCCCACUGACUUCAGUGGGACCUGGAUUUGGGCUGGUAAAUGUAUCUGGCUCCAUACACUGUUGUUGGAAGGAUGUUAUCCUGAAUGACUACAGGAUAAUACAAUUCAUUUCAUGCUAUACAACCAACGUGAUCACCUUAGCCUUCAUAAAACAUUGUGCCCUCUCUCUAUGUACUGCUUUGUGCUAAAUUCUUGGGUUUUCCCCCUGUCUUUUUAACAAUGGGUGUUCUCCACUGCCAGCCAAUAUUUUGAUCUAACAGUGAUAUUUGUGAUUGAACAGUGAGUAGAGUGAUGUCUUGGAAUCUGUGCAUAGAUGCUUAUUGGAGUAUUGAUUUCUUCAUUACCAGGCAAAGGAAAAUGGCUUUUUUCAUGUACUGCAAACCAGCAGAACAACUUAUGUUCCAAUGCAUAAUUAUUCAUAAACUGAAGUGUUCAAAUCACCGGUAAUAUUUAUACAACGGGUAAAAUUCAUAUCAGACAAGCUACACUUAUUUUGUCACAAUAUUGUAAGAUGAGAAUGUAUAAGAUCAGUGGGAUGUAUUUAGAAAGAUUUGGCAGCCUUUUCCUGAGUUGCACUCUGAGAUGUAAACUGAAUUGGGGAUCGCUUUCCAAUAAGUGAUUAAGUUAUUUGACUAAAUAUUAUAUGUGCAAGUAAAUGCAAUGUGGAGAUUAGUGUUUUUUUAUCACAACUGUUUACUAGAUAUGAUUUUUAUUGUUUUUUACUUCACUUUUGUUUCACAUAUUCUUCAAUGAUUACUUGGGGCGGAGGAGUGUUGUUAGACACUUGCACAUUUUAAGUACAAAAGGAAGAAAGCAA